UUAAAGAAUCAAAAGGGAAUAGAGAGGAAAGCUUUACCUGGAGCAAGAUACUGGAAAACUUAACCCCAAAAAAAAAAAACCAAGGUGAAAUACUUCAGCAACGUGAAAGAAGAUUUAGGAGAAUAAAGUUUUGUCAUUAAACCAUACAAGACAAAAGAAGGACCUGAGUUGAAGCUCAUAGUUACUGCCACACAUUGCCUUAUACAGGUUAAUGUUACUUUGAUUCUAUUUAAGUUGUUUCCCUUAGUAUCUGAGCUUUCAUUAGAAACUGAAGCUAAAUUCUAGUGAGAAAGAUGAUAUAUAUAACUUUAAUUGGGUUUAGCUAUACACAUAUUUGGGUAUAACCUAUUUUGAAGAGUAUUUGAGAUCUUUUCAGUUUUAAUUGUUUAGAUAUUUAAAUCUGAUAUUGGAAUUUAGUUGGUGCUUAAUUAUAAUGGGUAGCAUUAGGUUCGAAUUUUUUUUUAUUAUGAUAAGGUUAUUACCUGAUGUUCGACUCAUGAACUGAGAAAUGAAGAAUGACAGGGAAUACUUUGGUAGGUCUUAUGUAGCCUAAUUGAGGAUUAUUUCCAAUGGAAUCAGGAGGAAAUUUGAUAGAGUAAAACCCAAAUAUGUCGGUAGUUCAUGAAGUUGAUACUUAACUAGUGUUUUUGAUAAUAUAGAUUGACUCAAGGAAGUUGUACGAACUGCUCGAAUUGAAGCGCUUGGUAUUUCGGUACGAGUACUGUGAGUAGUAAUUUUACCGCAAUUUGUGUUUUCAUAACCUGCAUGGUUUAUCUAUGAUUUUUGAAAAUAAAUGUAUUACUGAUGCUUUGAAAUUGCAUGUGGGACAAGUCCUUUACUUGAUAUGAUACCGAACAGUUUACUUGAGAUGUUAAUUGCCUGUGGGACAAGUCCUUUAGUUGAUAUGAUACCGAAGAGUUUACUUGAGACGUUUACUGAUUAAUCAAAUAUUUUCACUGUUACUAGAUAUAUUUUACCGUUACUUGAGACAUGAUUUCAGGUACCGAAAUAAAAUUACAAGAUUUGAAAAGGAAUGAUAUGCCCUUUAUUAUUUUGAAAAUGCUUCUUUACGAGUAUUUAUGGUUUAUAAGAAAGAAUAUAAAUGGGCGGAGACUUUGAAAGAUGCAGUAGCUAAUGACGGGUUCGUUAGACCUGGUGCAACUUGUAUUUACAGAUUACAGAGUAUAGUUAUAGCCCUCGCUAGUGGAAGGUAGAACUAGCACACCGUUACCAAUUUCCAUCGAGUAGGGACUACAAUUAUAUUUGACUUCUUGCGAAGAAGUCCACAGUUAUCCUUAUUACAUGAUCGUUCAUUGAAAUCUCCCAAAAUGUGAAUACUGAUAUUAUACAGUGGUUACCGAGCUUAUUACUGAAUUAUUAAUUNNNNNNNNNNNNNNNNNNNNNNNNNNNNNNNNNNNNNNNNNNNNNNNNNNNNNNNNNNNNNNNNNNNNNNNNNNNNNNNNNNNNNNNNNNUGUGAUGAGAUUGAAAAUUAUUUAUUGUUUCUGAAAGGGCAUUUUUAUGUAUUUUCUCUUUGAUAUACUAGCAUGUUUCUGACUUGUCCCGAAAUAAAAACGGUUGUGGUUAAGUGUUAUUACUCACUGAGCUUGCGACUCAUUCCUCGUUAAUUUUUUUUACAGAGACAGCAGCUGACGUAGACGAGGAUUUCAUUAAUUAGAGCGUACAUGUUAAGAAUUCUUGGUGAGCCUCGCACUUGUUCGCGUGGGCGGAGGUUUUCAUCAAUUGUUAUAGUCCUCCCUUUUAAGUCUUAGAGUCGCUCCAUAGUCAUUCGUUUAGUGUCAUGAGUAUUAUUUUGCUAUUAGUCUUAUGUCGAGUAUCGUUCUUUAUUAUCAAAGUUAGAGAUGAAUUAGUAUUUCCGGUUGUUAGUGGAUUGAUUAGUAGUGGCAAAGGCUAUUUUGGUUAAUUGAUAAGUUAUAGAUUGUUUGAAUUGCUAUUAGGAUGUUUGGUUGCUGAUUUGAGACAGGGAAAUUUUUGGGAUGGUCCAAAAAUAGGGAAAAUUUUGUCCGAUUUUUUGUAAAAUUUCCGAUGAGGCUUACUUGGGAGCACUUGCUCCUAAGCGCCGGUCACAAUUCUAAAUCGGGUCGUGACAAAGUUGGUAUCAGAGCUUAGGCUUUACGUCUCAAGUCAUGGAGCAUUGUUUAGUAGAGUUUUGUUCAUGGGUACGUAGGCGCCCAUAGUUAUGAGUUUGAGGCUACUUAUCAUCUAGGAAUUUUUUCCCUUUUUUCAUUCUUUGAUCGUGCGUUGAGAUAACUUGAGAUUGACUUUGGAAUAUUUCUUUCGCAGUUGGCUAGGACACGUAGACCCUCAUCUGCUGGACGUGGUUUUGGACGUGGUACUACUCGAGGUGGAGGUCAAGUUGGGGUUCAUCAAACUAGAAGACAUACUUCUACUCAACCUCAAGUUGGGAACAUGGGUCAAACCCAAGAAGUUAUGCCAGAUCAAGUGCAAGAGCAGGGAGUUCAGAACGCUCCACCACCAGUGCCAACUGUUGUAUCUACUAUUGCCUUACCUGCAUAUGCAGUGGAAAGGUUAUUAAAUGUGUUAGAGGCAAUGUUGCCUACUCAUAGAGGAAGUUCAGCUCCUCAGGCUAGCUUAUAGACAAAAGCACCGGCACGGACUCAGACUUUCGGAAAUAAGGAAGUAUCCCUACAAGAGUUUCACAUGGGUACCUACUCUGGGAGGAAGUUCUAACUCCUCAGGCUACUUUAUAGACACAAGCACCAGCACAGACUCAUACUUUCGGAAACAAGGAAGUAUCCCUACAAGAGUUUUUGAAUUUGAAAUCACCAAAAUUCACAGGUUCCGAUAAUUCAGCAGAUCCUCAAGGUUUCUUGGAUGAGACACUCAAGGCAUUACGUUCUCUUAGAUGUUCUAGUGAGAGAGCCGUGGAGCUCGCAGCAUACAAAUUAUAGGAUAUGGCCAACACAUGGUAUGAAACUGUAUUGCUAAGAAGGCCAGCAAGAGCAGCACCACUGACACGGGAUGAGUUCACUAAGUUGUUCAAGAAUCACUUUCUUCCAGACAGUCUAAUGCAACAAUAUGCCACAGACUUUGAGAGAUUGGUUCAGACUCCAGAUAUAGACGUGUCAACAUAUAACACUAAGUUCUGUGAGCUGGUUGUAUAUGCUCCUCACUUAGUGUCUACCGAAGAAGCUCGAGUUCAGAGGUUUGUUAAUGGAUUAGUUGGUUGUUUAUACACUGCAGUAGCCCUACCGAUGAAGACUUUAUCCUACUCUGAUAUAGUCGACCUUGCUAGAAAGAUUGAAAAUAAGGGAUGUGAGGAGCAUGCAGUUAGUGAUUUACGUAAGAAGGCCAAGACAGGAGGGGCUUUCAGUGGUCGUUUUAGUGACAAUAGAAGAGCGGGAAAUCAGGGACAACAACAACAGGGUUCUCAGAAAGGGACACACAUGUUUUCACAGUCCACAUAUAGACCACCCUACAGGCAGGGUAAUAGGGGACCAUCAUCUUCUGGACAUCGUAAUUUUGGGCAUAUAUAUGCCACUACUCUAGUCUGUCAGACUUUUGGUAGCUCACAUUUUGGCCAAUGUCGUGUUCUAACUAGAGAGUGUUUUCGGUGUGGCCAGUUGGAACAUCACUUGAGGGAUUGCCCUCAGCCUCCGAGAAAUUUCAAUCAGGCUCCUAUUCAGUCAGUUGAACCGACUCAAACUACUCGUAAUACUUUAGGAGCUACAGGUACAGGAAAUAGAGGUCGAGGUGAUGGAGACCAUGCUACUGUGAAUCAAGGACAAGGCAAUGCUGGUAGAGGUCAGGCGAGAGUUUUUGCAUUUACUAGACAUGAUGCUCAGGCGUCGAAUGUCGUGGUUACAGGUAUUCUUUCUGUCUUUUCAUUUGAUGCACUUGCUUUGAUUAAUCUGGGAUCUACCCACUCCUAUGUGUCCUCGUACUUUGCUUUGAGAUUUAGUAGACAGCCCGAGCUAUUGAAUGAUCCUUUUAUAGUUGCUACCCUUGUUGGAGAGUCUCUAUUAGCUGAAUACGUGUACCGUGCUUGUCAAAUUCGGGUUGAUGAGUAGAGAUACUCUAGGUGACCUUAUUGUACUUGAUAUGAUUGACUUUGACAUGCUGGCGGGAAUGGAUUGGUUAUCUUCUUGCUAUGCCAUAAUCGAUUGUCAUGCAAAGAUAGUAAGGUUUGAGAUACCAAAUGAACCCAGUUUUACUCUAAGAGGGAGUCGGGUUCCAGAGACUUGCAAAAUUGUAUCUUCUAUGAAGGCUCAACGACUUCUGAAGAAAGGUUGCUUGGGUCUCUUAGCUAUAGUAAACGACACUAGAAAGGAAACAGUUAGCAUAGAAAAUGUACCCGUAGUGAGAGAAUUUUCUGAUGUCUUUCCUGAGGAUUUACUAGGAUUAACUCCAGUACGAGAAAUAAACUUUGGUAUUGAUUUACUUCCUGACACACAACCCAUAUCGAUACCCCCAUAUUGAAUGGCACCAGCAGAGUUGAGGGAGUUAAAGCAACAGUUACAAGAUUUGUUUGACAAGGGUUUUAUUAGACAUAGUGUAUCACCAUGGGGUGCGCCAGUACUGUUCGUAAAGAAGAAAGAUGGAUCUCUGAGAAUGUGCAUUGACUACAGGCAGUUGAACAAGAUAACAAUACGCAAUAAAUAUCCUUUGCCUCGUAUAGCUGACAUGUUUGNNNNNNNNNNNNNNNNNNNNNNNNUGAACAAGAUAACAAUACGUAAUAAAUAUCCUUUGCCUCGUAUAGAUGACAUGUUUGAUCAGUUACAAGGAGCUGCCCAUUUUUCAAAGAUUGACCUCCAUUCUGGUUAUCAUCAACUUAGAAUCAAAGAUGAAGAUAUUUCUAAGACUGCUUUCAGGAAUCGAUACGGGCACUCUGAGUUUCUUGUGAUGCCUUUCGGACUGACAAAUACUCCAGUUGCAUUCAUGGAUUUAAUGAAUAGGGUGUCCAAGCCGUUUCUGGAUAGAUUUGUAAUAGUAUUUAUUGAUGAUAUCCUGAUAUGUUCUCGUAGCCAAGGAGAAUACGAGAAUCAUCUCAGGACUGUGUUGCAAACAUUGCGAGAACAUCGGCUUUAUGCUAAGUUUUCAAAGUGUGAAUUCUGGCUAGACUCGGUAGCAUUUUUGGGGCAUGUUGUAUCCAUAGAUGGAAUUAUGGUAGAUCCUAAAAAGACUGAAGCUAUGCAGAAAUGGACCAGACCUACUUCUCCUAUAGAGAUAUAUAGCUUUUUAGGAUUUGCAGGCUAUUACAGGCAUUGUGUGCAGGUGCAAAAGUGGCCCAGACCUACCUCUCCUACAGAGAUUCACAACUUUUUAGGCUUAGUAGGCUAUUACAGGCGUUUUGUGCAGGAUUUCUCCAAAAUAGCAGCACCACUGACCAAACUAACACAGAAAAAUACAAAGUUUCAGUGGACGGAGGAAUGUGAGCAGAGCUUUCAAAAACUCAAAACAUGUUUGACAAUUGCACCAAUAUUAGCCUUACCAUCAGGUUUCGGAGGAUUUACUGUAUUCUGUGACGCUUUGAGGGUGGGAUUAGGAUGUGUUCUCAUGCAAAAUAGUCGUGUUAUUGCUUAUGCUUCGAGACAAUUGAAAAAGCCCAAGCAAAACUAUCCUACACAUGAUUUAGAGAUGGCUGCAGUGGUAUUUGCUCUAAAAAUUUGGAGUCAUUAUCUAUAUGGCGAAACUUGUGAGAUUUAUACAGACCAUAAAAGUCUGAAGUAUAUCUUUCAGUAGAGAGAUCUAAAUCUUCAGCAGCGUCGUUGGAUGGAACUACUAUAAGACUAUGAUUGUUCUAUUUUGUAUCAUCCUGGAAAAGCCAAUGUGGUGGCUGAUGCCUUGAGUAGAAAAUCUAUGGGGAGUUUUGGCAUAUAUAGCCCCUGCAAAGAGACUUUUGGCUAGAGAUAUUCAGAGACUAGGAGAUACAGGUAUCAGAUUUAGGACAAGAGGCUAUGGACAAGGUCCAAUUGAUCAGGCAGAGAUUGCUUGCAGCUCAAAGCAGACAAAAGUCUUAUGCUGAUAAGAGAAGAAGAGAUUUAGUAUUCACAAUUGGAGACAAAGUGUUCCUACGAGUAUCCCCUAUGAAAGGUGUGAUGCGGUUUGGAAAAAGAGGCAAGUUGAGCCCCAGGUUUAUAGGACCGUAUGAGAUAUUGGACCGAGUGGGAGUGGUGGCUUAUCGUUCGGCACUUCCUCCUGAGUUGUCCUUUAUUCAUCCAGUGUUUCAUGUCUCAAUGCUAAGAAAAUGUAUAUCAGACGCAUCUCAGGUGCUUGAAGCACCAACUAUACCGCUUGAUGAGAGGUUGUCUUACCAGGAGGAGCUGAUGACAAUUGUUGAUAGACAAGUAAGAAAAUUACGGUCCAAUGAAAUUGUGUUCGUUAAGGUUCUAUGGAGAAAUCAUACAAUUGAAGAAGCUAAUUGAGAAGUAGAAGAUACUAUACGAGUCAAGUACCCCUAUUUAUUUCAGUCUACACGUACGUACUUGAAUUAAAUUGGGGGACCGAAUUUCAUGAGGUGGGGAGAAUGAAAUACCCUAUAUUUAAAAGAGGGCGUAUUGGUCAUUAUAAUAAUAAUAAUAAUAAUUACAAUAAAGUAACUAAAUAAAAAAAAGGAAUAGGCAUAAUAUCAAUGGGCUUAGCCCAUGUCGGACUAGGGAGAAAAAAAUAUAUAUACUAAGAGAAAUAAAUGGGCCGAUCCCACCAUAAAUCUUACACUACGGGAGUUAGGGAUUUGGGGGGAGGCAUAUCCAAGAUUAAAGAAUCAAAAGGGAAUAGAGAGGAAAGCUUUACCUGGAGCAAGAUACUGGAAAACUUAACCCAAAAAAAAACCAAGGUGGAAUACUUCAGCAACGUGAAAGAAGGUUUAGGAGAAUAAAGUUUUGUCAUUAAAACAUACAUUGCCUUAUAGAGGUUAAUGUUAAUUUGAUUCUAUUUAAUUUGUUUCCCCGAGUAUCUGAGCUUUCAUUCGAAACUGAAGCUAAAUUCUAGUGAGAAAGAUGAUAUAUAUAAAUUUAAUUGGGUUUAGCUAUGCACAUAUUUGGGUAUAACCUAUUUUGAAGAAUAUUUGAGAUCGUUUGAGUUUGAAUUCUUUAGAUCUUUAAAUUUGAUAUUGGAAUUUUGUUGGUUCUUAAUUAUAAUGGGUAGCAUUAGGCUCGAAUUUUUUUUAUUAUGAUAAGGUUAUUGCCUCAUGUUCGACUCAUGAACUGAGAAAUAAAGAAUGACAGGGACUACUUUGGUAGGUCUUGUGUAGCCUAAUUAAGGAUUAUUUCCAGUGGAAUCAGGAGGAAAUUUGAUAGAAUAAAACCCGAGUAUGUCGGUAGUUCAUGAAGUUGAUACUUAACUAGUGUUUUUGAUAAUAUAGAUUGACUGAAGGAAGUUGUACGAACUGCUCGAAUUGAAGCGCUUGGUAUUUGCAAUUUGUGUUUUCAUAACCUGCAUGGUUUAUCUAUGAUUUUUGAAAAUAAAUGUAUUACUGAUGCUUUGAAAUUGCAUGUGGGACAAGUCCUUUACUUGAUAUGAUACCGAACAGUUUACUUGAGAUGUUUACUGAUUAAUCAAAUAUUUUCACUGUUACUAGAUAUGUUUUACCGUUACUUGAGACAUAAUUUCUGUUACCGAAAUAAAACUACAAGAUUUGAAAAAGAAUGAUAUGCCCUUUAUUAUUUUGAAAAUGCUUCUGUACGAGUAUUUGUGGUUCACAAGAAAGAAUAUAAAUGGGAGGAAACUUUGAAGGAUCCCGUAGCUAACGGCGGGUUCGUUAGACCUGGUGCACCUUGUAUUUACCGAAUGGGAAUAGACUUUGAAGGAUCUCGUAGCUAACGACGGGUUCGUUAGACCUGGUGCACCUUGUAAUUACGGAUAACCGUAAUAGCCAUCGCUAGUAGGAAGGUAGAACUAGCACACCGUUACCGAUUUCCCUCGAGUAGGGACUACAGUUAUAUUUGACUUCUUGCGAAGAAGUCCACAGUUAUACUGAUUACAUGAUCGUUCAUUGAAACCUCCCAAAAUGUGAAUACUGAUAUUAUACGGUGGUUACCGAGCUUAUUACUGAAUUGUUAAUUAUAUGAUUGAAGUAUAUCUUUCAGCAGAGAGAUCUAAAUCUUUGGCAGCGUCGUUGGAUGGAACUACUCAAAGACUAUGAUUGUUCUAUUUUGUAUCAUCCUUGAAAAGCCAAUGUGGUUGCUGAUGCCUAUAGUAGAAAAUCUAUGGGGAGUUUGGCACAUAUAGCCCCUGCAAAGAGACUUUUGGCUAGAGAUGGAAAAGCCAAUGUGGUGGCUGAUGCAUUGAUUAGAAAAUCUAUGGGGAGUUUGGCACAUAUAGCCCCUGCAAAGAGACUUUUGGUUAGAUAUAAUUAGAGAUAAGAAGAUACAGGUAUUAGAUUUUGUGUCGGAAAUUCAGAGGCAUUAUUGGCUUGUGCUCAAGCUAAGUCUUCAUUAGUUGAGCGCAUUAAGGCCACCAAUAUGAGGAUGAACGACUAUGUAAAUACAAAGAUGAGGUCUUAGCUGGUAAAAGCAAGGAUAUGAUUGUUGGAAGUGAUGGUGUUCUUCAAAUGGGUGACAGGCUAUGUGUAGAAGACGUAGAUGGGUUGAGACAUGCUAUUCUUGAAGAAGCCCACAACUCUAAAUACACUAGACAUCCUGGAUCCACAAAAAUGUACCAUGACCUGAAGCAAUUUUAUUGGUGGGAAGGUAUGAAGAAAGAUGUUUCCAACUUUGUGUCUAGUUGUUUAACUUUUCAGUAGGUCAAGGCUGAGCAUCAGCGACCCGUAGGACUACUACAACAAAUUUUGUUACCAGGCUACUACGAACCCUUAGAGGUUAUGACGCGAUAUGGGUGAUUGUAGAUCGAUUGACGAAAUCAGCACACUUUUUACCGGUGAAGACUACACAUGGUGGAGUCAGGUAUGCCCAGAUAUUUAUGAACGAAAUUCUCCGACUUCACGGAGUUCCAUUAUCCAUAAUCUCUGAUAGAGGAUCACAGUUCACUUCACGUUUUUGGAAAUCUUUUCAAGAAGCAUUGGGUACACGAAUAGAUCAUAGUACUACAUUUCAUCUACAGACAGACGUGCAGUCUGAACGUACUAUCUGAUCUACUUCUACUCCUUCAACAUCUUCUUCUCUCCCUGCUACUAGAAAAAGCACCAGAAAUUACAUAUUGCCUUCACAUCUUAAUGAUUUUGUUGUACAACUUCCUCCUUCCAUUUCCAGCUCUACUACUUUGUCUCUCUCUUCUGCACGCACAACUCAAGUUGAGCCUCAUUCAUACUCUCAGGCAGCUACCAGUUUAGACUGGUAAGAAGGCAUGAGAAAAGAAUUUGAGGCCUUAGAAGCUAAUAAUACUUGGUCUAUAGUUGUGUCACCUAAGGGUAAAAAGUCUAUUGGAUGUAAAUGGAUGUAUAAAACUAAGUACAAGGCUGAUGGGAGUGUAGAAAGAUAAAAGGCAAGAUUGGUAGUAAGGGGGAUACACAAAUUAAAGGUAUUGCUUUUAAUGAAAUAUUUUCUCCGGUUGUCAAAAUGUGUACUAUUAGGUAUCUAGUUGCUUUUGCAAUUAAAAAGGAUUGUCCUUGUAUCAAUUGGAUGUGAAUAAUUUAUUUUUUCAUGGGGACUUAUAUGAUGAGAUAUAUAUGAAGCUUCCCCAAGGCCUCACAGUUGCUUCAUCUUCUCAAUCUACUUCUCCCUUGGUUUGUAAGUUGCAAAAUCCCUUUAUGUUUAAAACAAACCUCUAGGCAAUGAUAUGCUAAGUUGUCACAAGCACUUUGCACUAGAGGUUACACACAUUCUUUGAAUGAUUACUCUCUUUUCAUUAAAAGGUCCGAAUCAUCUCUUGUAUUUCUUGCUGUCUAUGUGGACGAAGGAUGAUCCUAAAGAGAUCACCGCUCUCAAAGUAAUUUUAAAUGAUCUGUUUAAAAUUUAUAUAUAUAUAUAUAUAUGACUUAGGAUUAAUUAACUAUUUUCUGGGAAUUGAGUUGUUAUAUAUUGAUUCUGGGUACUUCUUCAUCAAAAAAAGUUUGUUUGGGAGUUAAUUGCUAAAUAUGGGUGUUCUGAUGCUUCUUUUGUUUCUUCUCCCCUUGAGUUGUGUGUUAAACUCAAGUCUGAUGUUGGGGUCUUGCUGCCCAACCCUGAAUCUUAUAGAAGUUUAGUUGGAAAUUAAAUUUUCUCACUCAUACCAGGCCAAAUUUAUGUUUUGUUGUGCAACACUUGAGUCAGUUUCAUAAGACACCUCGUAUGCCCCAUAUGACUACUACGUUACAUGUUCUAAGGUAUUUGAAAGGCACACCUCAUGUUGGAGUCCACCUCAAUAGUUCUUCUGAUUUUUCUGUGCAAAAAAAUUAUAUAUAUAUAUAAAAUUUUUGAAAGUGUAAUUUAUAUGCAGGAGGAAGAUCAAAAGAAAGAAAAACGAAUAUAAGCUGAGAAAACUUUUUCUAGUUAAAAUUUCAAUACCUCAAUUUUUUCGGUGUGGAAAGGUUUUGCGAUGAUGAAUUUUUUUCCCAAAUCUGAGUGUAUUUUGCUUUCCUUAUGAAUUGAUCUUUUUGAGAGUUUAAUUUGUGUAUGAAAAGGAUAGAAAGAGGAAAACAAUAGAAUAAAUGAAAGAAAAAUGGUUAGACAACGUUGUCGAUGAAUGAAUAUUCGCCGAAAUUAGAGAAGAAACAAAAAAAGAAGUAAAAGAAAAAGACAAAGAAAAAGAAAAAGGAAAAAAGUAUGAAAAAAUAGUAAAAAAGCAAAGAGAAGAAUUUGAAAAUAGUUUUUUCUUGUUUCUCACUCUCCCAAGGUGAGUGAAAUACACACACGCUGCCACGUCAGUUUUAAGGGUGCAAAUAAUUCUACUUUAAAAUAGUUUAGGGUGUAAUAAAAACCCUGCAAAGGUAGAGCGUGUAAUUGAUAAUUCGGGUAUAAGUCAGGGGUACUUAUUCAUUUUUCCUAUUCUUAUCCAAAUAGUUUUUUAUUUAAAAGAAUGGCUAAAUGCUAAUAGCUUUUUAAAUACUAACUAAAUUUUAAUAGCAAUAGUUAAAAAUAGCUAUUUUUCAAUUUCUUUCGGUACUUUAUGCCUUGUCCCCUAGGUGGACCAACACAUUGUAAUAAGUAUAGCAAAAACAACUAUUCCCUCCCGCCCACAAUAAGUGACAAGUCAAGUACCUCUAACAUCUACAUUGUAGAGUUACUUGAAUCUCCUUUAUUGGGAAUUGACUUUCCCUCAGAGUUGGGGUCAUCACUACUGUGUAUUUCGCUAAGACCCUGUUUAUUGUCGGACGAAGGUCGAAAGAGCAUUUCAUCAGUUCCACUGGACAGUUGAGGAUAUAUUUUUUGUCCUCUCUCUCUCUGGCAAAAUCAUAAGGCUUGCGUCGCUGAGGUUUGAUAUUUCUGUGAACGAACCCCUGAGUGGGGGAAUCUCCUCUAUUUCCUCUAUCUCCUCUGCUAUAUUUAUUUCCUCAUGUGCCUGUGGUGGUGGGGUGGGGGGGUGCUGUUGCAUGUGCAUGGGGCUUGAUGGGGGGAGGAGCAUGAUGCAUGUGCAUGGGAUCUGUUGGGGUGGAGCACGCUCUUGCACCUGUUGGGGUUACCAUUGGGAAGAAGAGAGGCUGUACAUUGAACAUCUAUUGGGGUGGGAAGAAUGGAAGCUCGUGAGCUGGUUCCAAUUUAGUAGAGGGUUGAAGUGAGGUGGAAUGUUCCACUGUUGAUGCAUAUUGUGGAACAAAUCUGGUGCCUUUGCUGGGGCCAACAGAUCCAUCAUAUUGGCUAGCCACAUAUGGUUUAUAUAAUUGUUCAUAGCUAUUCGCAUCCCUUCCGAUAUUAGCUGAGUCAAAAAACUUGAGUUUUUGAAUGAUUAUUAGGACUUUCAUCUCGUUGAUGAUUAUAAAAUUACCUGUCCUUGUAGCCCUUGUUCGAUCCAGGAUUGAGGUAGGUGGAAUGGUGGUAGAGGUUGGGUUGCAUACACCAACUGGUGGUGUGCUGGUGGUGGAGGGAGGUUGUUCAUAGGGUUGGUUGUUAGUAUGAUGGGUUGUGGACGAGGGAGUAUGGGUAUUCUAGAAAGAAGUGAGAGAAAGUGGUGUACCAUUUUGUAAGAUGAAAGCAAGAGUAAUAUUGUGUGAGUUGUGUGAUAGGUUUGUAAGAACUGAUGAUUAUGUAUCUAUUGAGUGUAAUUUUCUAAGGUUGGGAUUAAGUGGAUUAAGCGUGUUGGUUCUGGCAUGCAGAUUUGGUGAAUCACUUGCAUGUCCACUUGGCCAGAAAGAGAUGCCAAGUGUGAUGAGAGUGAAGGAACUUCGAUAAGGAUAGUAGGAGAGUUUGCUGAGUUGGAGUCUUUUUGCUCUAUAUUUUUUGAUAACUUGGGGGUGCCAAUCUGAUUAGUGGCAAGAUACUCUUUUAAUUGGGACACUUGGUGUCCACGUGGAAACUCCUUUGUUUAGUCCAUUCUUAUUUGUAAUUAAGGGUUUUCAGACACGGCUGAAGUGGGGUCAUUUGUACUUGUUUUUGCGCCACUUCAGAUUUCUGCUUGGGGAUAGGGAGGGUUGCUAGAAUAUUGGGUAUUAAUAGGGCAUAUUGAUUAGCUACCUGCUAAGCGUGCUGUGUAUUAGGGCUGAUAUUUCUAUUUUCUUCCAAGUGCUUAUUGGGUAGCAAGUGGUUAUUAUUCUUGUCCUUAUUAGUAUAGUAAUUAUUAAUAAUGUGAUUGUUAUUUUUAUCCGUAGAGGGGUAGUAAUUCGUGGAUUUGCUAUGAUAGAUAGAAGUGUUUGUGGGGGAAAACUUACCUUGUUCUUUAGUAGUGAAAGAAAUACCAAUACCUGGGCUGUGUUGUGAUUCUUUCUCCUUCUCAGCUUCUUUUAAUCACUGUUUUUCAUUUCUUGUGUUUCUUCUUUUUUUUGGCGAACGAGACUGUUUGCCAUUUGCUUGACCUAUCCUUAACCAUUUGUUUUUUGUGAAGGGUUGCUACUGUCUGGGGAUGUUCCUUGGUCAUCUUGUGUUGAUUCUGGGAUGUGUUCUUUGCCACGUUGACGAUGGAGGCAUCGAAUGACCGUGUGUCCCAGUCUACUAUAGUAUUUUCACAAGAAACCCUCUCCUUCAUAAAUAAUCUGUUGAAGAUGGGAGUCGAUUUGUUACAUGAUGUAACUGGCUCUUCGAGUGGGAGUUGUAUGCAGAGGCGUGCAUAUCUUCCCCUCAAUGUAGAGCUGGUGCAGGCAUCUAUCUUCAAUGGAGUGCUGAUUGAGUUACCUAUGCAUUUAAGUAGUGCUCCAUCAUAAUAUUCCGUUGACAACUGUGGUAAUCUAACCCACACAGCAGUGUUUGUUUGUUGUGCCUUGCUGACAACAAAGUUGGGUUGCCAUUAAUUUUAUUACAGAGAGGAAGUGGCCAUUGACAAAUCAGGGUCCCUUCCUAAGAACAUUAUUCAUAUUUUCGUCCUUUGUGAAUUUUACUAUGAAAUAGUCUGACCCUAGGUCAAUUAGAGGGAAUUGCUCUUUGGGUUUCUAUUAUUUUUGCCUUCAAAUAAUGGUGCAUAAUCCUUUUUCCGAAUAGUUUGAUGAUGAGGAAGUAUUUCCAGGUGGAGUAAAGCCUAUCUUUUUCAUCGUUUGAUAGUUGAAGUGCUUUUACCCCACUGGUUACUUGUUCUCCUUCAUUCUCCGCGUUUGGAGGUUCACAUAAAUCUUGCAUGAUUUCUUCCUGCUG
rnacentral:lncRNA from 1 species